UACGGAGGGUGCAAGCGUUAUCCGGAUUCAUUGGGCGUAAAGGGUGCGUAGGCGGCGCGGUAAGUCGGGUGUGAAAUCUCGGAGCUUAACUCCGAAACUGCAUUCGAUACUGCCGUGCUUGAGGACUGGAGAGGAGACUGGAAUUUACGGUGUAGCGGUGAAAUGCGUAGAUAUCGUAAGGAAGACCAGUGGCGAAGGCGGGUCUCUGGACAGUUCCUGACGCUGAGGCACGAAAGCGUGGGGAGCAAACGGG
rnacentral:rRNA from 1 species